rnacentral:rRNA from 1 species
AGAGUUUGAUCAUGGCUCAGAACGAACGCUGGCGGCGUGCCUAAGACAUGCAAGUCGUGCGGAAAGGCUCCUUCGGGAGUACUCGAGCGGCGCACGGGUGAGUAACACGUGGGUAAUCUACCUGAGGGUCUGGGAUAACCCCGGGAAACUGGGGCUAAUACCGGAUGAGACCACGGCGUCCUCGGACGCAGCGGUCAAAGGUGGCCUCUCCUUGGAAGCUAUCGCCCGCAGAUGAGCCCGCGUCCCAUUAGCUAGUUGGCGGGGUAACGGCCCACCAAGGCGACGAUGGGUAGCUGGUCUGAGAGGAUGAUCAGCCACACUGGAACUGAGACACGGUCCAGACUCCUACGGGAGGCAGCAGUCGGGAAUUUUGGGCAAUGGGCGAAAGCCUGACCCAGCAACGCCGCGUGAGGGAUGAAGGCCUUCGGGUCGUAAACCCCUGUCGAGUGGGACGAAUAGCCCACGAUUGAAUAGGUCGUGGGAAUGACGGUACCGCUAAAGAGC